CAGGUCUGUGGCUUCUGUGACCUCCUAAGUAAAGGAAACCUCACGUCCUCGCGUUGUCCUCUGAUUCCCUUGGUUUCCAUGGCGAUGUUGUUCCCUUGGUUGCUGCCAGCAGCUUCUGUCAACUCCCGGUUUUCUUGUCAUGGUGAGGACCUCAAAGUCGGGAUCCUGGCGAGUGUGGCCUAUCUGCAUUCCCGGCCCCAGGCCUUACUUUAAAACCCCCGGCAGUUCUGAGGAAAUCAAUGUUUUUUAUGUCUGUGACUCAUUCUAAGCACAUCAGUGUGUGAAGGUACAGAGCUCUGCACCAAGGGAAUAGAGAAGGCCUUCUCCUUCCAUGAAAAAGCCUUCAAACCCACUGUCAAAUGCUGCAAAACCUGCAUUGACUAUCUUUCAACCUCACUGUGGCAAUUUAUUCCCACUCUUGUGCCCACCUCGACCCUUCAGACAGAGGGACACCUUAGGCUCACCAAGGAAAAUGGCAAAUAGUGGAAAGGACCAUAGAAUGGUGGCCUAAACAACAAAAAGCUAUUGUCUCAUCGUUCUGGAGGUUGGAAGCACAGCAUCAAGUUGUUGCUAAGCCCAGGUUCCUACUGAUCUGUCUACUUUGGGGCCUCCUACAAUUCAUCACCUUCCAGUUUCCAUUGGGAAGAUGACAAGGAUGAAACUUUCUUCAUAAGAAGACUUAUGAACAAGGUGAGACCUGCUAUAGAAAAUACGGACAGUGGCAAUUUCCGUAGUCUGAUGUGAAAUGAUCAUGACGUGGACCAGACAAAAGUCAAAGGAAAAGCUUUGACAUACUGAGUCAUAACCUAGGAAACCAUAAAGAAUCUUCUAACGGUAAUAUUAAUUCUUUUUUCAGAUGUAUUGCUACUUUAUCCCCUUCUUUUGAAAAGGAGUUGAAAAGAACCAUAAUAUAUCCAAAUUUUGAGAAGUUAGCACUGAGAUCCACGGAAUAAAUAUGUCAUUCAAAGGGCCAAGCAAUGGAGAAAAGAGAUAUUGCUGAACAAAUCUGGAAAAGACAGACGUGAACAGGAGGAACGGAAAUGCCUCCAGCAUAAGUAACCCCACGUCUUAAGGAAGUCACUGAAAGGAUGUGACCACCAGUUGACCUGUGAGCUAGACCCCUGGCAAUCAGAAGCUCUUUGUUCUUGGCAUGUAUGAUCUGCCCACUGUUUCAGCACUAGAAGCAAGCCUUAAGAGAGGAAUGUGUUAUUGAGACCAUCUGGAUUAGAUAUAUGACUGAACCCCACCCAUUGAGGCCUCUAUAUAAACUCUUAAGAUUUUGCUGGAUAGGUACUGAGAUCUACUCAUCUUGUGGCCACCAAAGACAAGCCUUGUAUGCAAGUUCCUUCGCCUAUUAAAACUGCUGUCUACAGAUCUGGAAUAGCUUGACUCUUUCUUCAGUCUCUUUCUGCCCUCCAUAUACAGGCGCCAAUUCCAAAUUUUAUGAGAAGAACUCUCCAGGUUUUGAACCAAUACCCUUCAUUUGAAAACCUGACUCCUGACAACUAAACUCCCAGCACAUUCCCUUGCAGCCCCUAAACUACUGGGUAGAGUUAAUACCAUUGCCCCUGGCUCCGCGGGGGAGAGGCCCUUUGAUCGCCCCAUCUGAGGCCAUUUAGGACUCCCGUAGGACCAGCUCAUCACCAUAAUGGGGAAUGUAAAGAACCCCAGAGCAAUAGCAGAGUAUAAAGAUCAUAUGGCUGCUGGCCUGCUCCAGCAUUGUGCUCACAUUUCACUAGGUCUUGCUUCUGUGAUUAAACCCAACCUACCAUACUAAAUCAAAGAGUACAACCCUGGACCAUUUCCUUUGGAAUAUUGCUUGAAUCUUCACAUUAGUCCCUGUCAGGAGUCUGUUAAUCUAAGUCUAGAUUCCUGCCUCAUGCCCAC